rnacentral:tmRNA from 1 species
GGGGGCGACAUGGCUUCGACGCGGAUGUCAAAACCCAAGGUGCAUGCCGAGGUUGCAAUCUUCCUCGUUAAUCCGGUUGCAACUUAAGCUAGUUGCGAACGACGACAACUACGCACUAGCGGCUUAAACCCCGCUAGCGUCCGCCUGGUGAGUGUCUGUGCUCCCAGCCACGGAUGUCAUAUUACAUAGACUCGCGGUAAAGCCCCGUUUCGGGCUGAUCCGUUAAGAACAAACGAAGCUACGCGCAGGUUGUCCCUUUUCGUCGGGUAGCCUGCGCCGACAACUAAAGACGAAAUAAGCAUGUAGAUCCGAGGGUUGAGAAUCCGCGGACGCGGGUUCGAUUCCCGCCGCCUCCACCA